rnacentral:rRNA from 1 species
CUCGUAGGCGGCCUCCUAAGUCAGACGUGAAAGCCCUCGGCUCAACCGGGGAACGGCGUCUGAGACUGGAAGGCUUGAAUCCGGGAGAGGGAUGCGGAAUUCCAGGUGUAGCGGUGAAAUGCGUAGAUAUCUGGAGGAACACCGGUGGCGAAGGCGGCAUCCUGGACCGGUAUUGACGCUGAGGAGCGAAAGCCAGGGGAGCAAACG